rnacentral:rRNA from 1 species
AGUAAAGAUCUAUAGGGUCUUCUCGUCUACCACAUUCAAUUAAGCAUUUGCACUUAAACUUUAAUUUCAUACCUUACCUAAGAGACAGACUUUCCCUUGUUUACCCUUUCAUCCCAUCACUUAAUUAGAGUGCAAAUGAUUAUGCUACCUUUGCACAGUCAAGUUACUGCGGCUCUUUAACAAAAGUCAGUGAGCAGGGCUUACCUCAAAUUAUUUAAGGAGGCAAUGUUUUUGCUAAACAGUCAGGAAAAGCGUUUGCCGAGUUCCUUUUAGGUAUGUUAAAAACUACUAAUCUUAUCAUUAUAUCUAGAAUACGUCAGUUAUUUUCCAUUCUUUUGUAAGUUACUAAUGAGAGAGUAAAUUCAAUACUUUCAAAUUCUCAUGAGUCAAAAUGAUUAACUCUAAUUCAUUUAGAUUGGACUAAGAGCUUACCCCUUAGCCCUUCCUCCUUUAUUUAAACUUCCUAGUCGGAAGGGGGUGGAUAAAGGGACAGAUUAAAUCUGUUUUCAAAAGAAUCAGAUAACUUAAGAAACGUUUAACUUUUUACUUCUGUACUAAGAUUUGAGAUUAUUGUGAAACAUAAAACUCUACAUUAAAACAGAUCUUCUUAAUUCGGAUUUCUAUAAUUCAUAAUUUAAUUCGAUAAGCCAUGAUGCAAAAGGUACCUGAUUUCAGUACUUCUUAUUUCUUCUUCCAAUCCCUCUCGGUUUAACUUCAAUCUUCUUUUUUUGUCAUAAUUAAAGAAAAAUAUACUUUUUUUUUAUCUGAUCCAUUUUGUUUUUUUGGAGAAAGAC